GCCCACUUGCUGGUGGCCCCGCCUCUCCCACACCCCGCCGGCAGUCCCGCCUCUCCCCGACGCUUCCGCCGGCGGCCCAGUCCCUUGCCCUGGGACCCCAGCCUGUAGUGUUUGGAGACCCCGGCUCCUCUUCUAUUUCUCUUGAUCUGGGGUCCGGCUGGCGAUAGUGUCCGCGGUGCGCCCCUUUCUCUUGGUCGUUUAUGACCUCCACGUCGUCUUUUCUUCAGGUGACAUCCAGAAGGCAACUAAAAAUGUGAAUCUGAAGCUCUGGAAACAGCAUCAGAUUGGAACUACAGAUUUGAGAGCCUUGAGAAUUGAUUACAUCACUCAUGAAGAACACGCGCGAAAGCUCACCAGUUGACGGGAUGCUUGGGGAUUUGCAACCGCCUCAUCGCUGCCCCCUACCGGCGCAUAUUCAAAACGUCUCUGCGAAAAGCUGUUAUUACCCUCGGAGCCAACAGGGGCUGCUCGUUUACCCACAGACAGUCGGAAAAAAUGGCCGCCGGAUCACAGAGAGCAGAAAGUACGUUCUCUUAAAGAAUUUCCAAGUUCUUCCCGCGGCCGUUCAGGAUGCUGCUUGCAGUUACCAACACUAUUCCCCUGCACUGAGCUGACCUGAGCUUCCCUGCCUACCUCCUGUCACGGAUGUCACCUUCUUUCACCCCUGUCCUGUCAAGGUUUUUGCUUUAGAAUGCUAUAGACCAAAGACGGGCUAAUCAACAGUCUUACACACAAAUCCUUUCGUUCUACUUGGCUACAAGCAGGGCUAAUCUUCCGAAGAGGAAUCCCACUACUGCCUCCUUAUAAGGGAAAAACUACUCUUAGAGGAACCCAGAACGCCCUGUGAUGACAGAGGUGAGGGGCCAGCGCGGCAGAAUGCACCACCCUGUCUCCUCGCUUGCUUCUCUCUCCGUCGGAUUGCCAAAAAGGGAAGGGCACCUAGACUCCGAAAAGUAACUGAAGCAAAGGGAGUUUAAAGAACGCGCCCAGCCGCCUGGGUCUUGAACCCAGUGUUAAUGAGAGCAAAAACCUCUGCAUCCUCCACUGAGCUGUCCUUGAGCAUGUCUCAUAAUCAUGCUUCAUUUUAAAAACAGAAGUAAGUGAAUAAGCUAUGAAAGAAGACAACCUUUAAAUUUUUCAAAAGUUCUUGGUGGUCUGUGAUUAGAAAUUUCAUCUAUAUGAAAUAACUGUUUUGGAGGGCUUACUGUUAAAUUCAGGCAUUUUAGGGCCAGUGGAAAUUGGUUAAGCAUUCACAUCAGUCUUAACAUUAAUCUACUGGGAGUUUAAAGACUCUAAGCACUAAACACAGAUUUUCCUCACUGUCUAUAAAAUGAAAGAGGAAAGAAGCAUUGUACUAAAUUUUUUAUAAAGCUAAUUGUAUUCCCUUUUUUUUUUUUGAGGUAGUUCAUUGCAUUUUGAACAAGGAUAACUGUCAGAAAAGAUCCUCUUUGAAUAAAACAGAUAUCUCCCCCAUGGCUGCUUCUGGGUCUGCCCUCUGCAACCGCAUGGAAUAGGUCUGAUUCCAGUUCUUCAGGACAACUUUUCAAGAAUUAAAAAAUCACCUCCAAAUGAAUGCAUUUUUACAAAAUGAAAAUAGGUAGAGAUGCUAUUUUAAAAAAAAAAACUUUACCUUCUCACCAACCUUAAAAUAAGAAGCAAAAUAAUUUUGGUAUAUCUUUUUUUUUUUUUUUUUUUUUUUUUUUUUUUUUUUGAGACAGAGUCUUGCUCUGUCUCCCAGGCUGGAGUUCCGGGGAGCGAUCUCUGCUCACUGCAACCUCUGCCUCCCGGGUUCAAGCGCUUCACCUGCCUCAAGCCUCCCGAGUAGCUGGGAUUACAGGCACACACACACCAGCAUGCCCGGCUAAUUUUUGUAUCUCUUGUUUUUCACUAAAUGGAUCCCUGAAUUGGACCCAGAAUGACUUAGCUAUGGAUGUAAGAACUGCUUUUGAGUAGCUGCCUCCAUUAGCCCUGGGGUUCCUACUUCCUGAGUACCAUGACCUCUGGGAUAACUCAGCUUUGUGGAACUGAGGUGCAAUAGGCAGCAUAAUGACCCCCUCCCCAAAGAUAUCUAUGUGCUAACUAACCAAGGAAUGUGGACAGCCCCCCUGAAGCUGGAAAAGGCAAGGAAAGGGAUUCUCUUCAAGAGUUUCCAGAAGGAAUGCAGCCCUCUUCACCCAUUUGGUACUUCUGAUCUCCAGAACUCUUAAAUAAUAAAUUUGGCCGCAUGUAGUGGCUCACACCUGUAAUUCCCAGCACUUUGAGAGGCCAAGGAAGGUGGAUUGCUUGAGCUCAGGAUUUGGAGACCAGCCUGCACAAAAUGGUGAAACCCUGUCUCUACAAAAAAUAUGAAAAUUAACCAUGUGUGGUAGUAUGUGCCUGUAGUCUCAGCUACCAGGGAGGCUGAGGUGGGAGGAUCACCUGAGCCCAGGAGGUUGAGGCUGCAGUGAGUUGUUAGUGUCCCACUGCAUUCCAGCCAAGGGGACAGAGUGAGACCCCAUCUCAAUAAUAAUAAUAAUAAAUUUAUGUUGUUUAAGCCUCUAAAUUUGUGGUAAUUUGAUACAGCAAAUUACCACAGAAUAGGAAAGUAAUACAUGGGGGGAAUCAAGCUCAGUCUGUAACUGACAAAACUCUGAGAGGACAGAAAGGUAUCCUUUCAGUAACUGUCUUCUCGAACUCCUGACCUCAAGUGAUGCACCUACCUCAACCGUGCCCAGCCAGUAACUGUGUUCUUUAACAUACUUAUACUUUAAAAAAAAAAACAACUUUUAAGUUGAACAC